UGGUGCUAUUGGCUCUUUGCAGCGAAGCUAAUGGGUUUGACUGUAUAUUUUCUUGAUCCCUAGCCAUUUGCGUUCUUGCUGUGAUGUUGGCUUCAAUAGGUUCAGGUUCGCUGUUUUGAGUAGGAUGAAUUUAGAUGGAAUCUAUCGACCUUGGUAAAAAAAGAGAAGUCCUAUGCAAUUUAUGAGAUUGAGUUCAGAAAGUCUUUGGUCAAAGUAAGUGUGAAUACUGAAAAAGAAUUUUCACAGAAUUCACAAAUAAACUCGAGUCGAGCCAACCUAGCAUGUGACUGACAAUGGG
rnacentral:lncRNA from 1 species